UGGGUAGUACAAUGAAAACUUAUCAUAAUUUUUUUUGUAAAUAGGGACUUUUAAACUGACCCCAUGGGCUGAACAAGUGAGGUGACAAACUGGUGUCCCCCAUGGCGUUCAACGUAUUUAAAUUUAGUUACCGUUUUUAUUUUCAUAAAUUGCGAAACAGAAAUGACGAAGAGAAGAAAAAAAGAGAUGACACAGCACGAUAUCUGUAAAUCUAUUCUUUAUUAUCAUAAUAAUUAUUACAAACUGCGAUAAUCCCUACAUAAGGUACUAAACAAUUAGAAAAACAAUAUGUAUAUUGAGAAACGUGUAUUUUUAAGAUAAUAUGUAUUAAAAGUAACAUGUCGAUUCUUGUUCAUAAAUAUUAAAU
rnacentral:misc_RNA from 1 species